CCCUUAGAUGUUCUGGGCUGCACACGUGCUACACUGGCAGGUUCAGCGAGCUUCAUGCCCUGAUCUGAAAGGAAUGGGAAAUCUUUUCAAAACCUGCCGUGCUUGGGAUAGAUGCUUGCAAUUAUUCAUCUUCAACGAGGAUUGCCUUGUAAGCGCACGUCAUCAGCGUGCAUUGAAUACGACCCUGUAUUCUGUACACACCGCCCGUCGCUCCUACCGAUUGAAUGGUCCGGUGAAAUCUUCGGAUUGCUGACCAAGAUCCAGCAAUGGAGCUUGGUUGCGAGAAGUUGAUUAAACCUUAUUAUUUAGAGGAAGGAGAAGUCGUAACA
rnacentral:rRNA from 1 species